rnacentral:lncRNA from 1 species
AUAUUAAUAAUUAGCUGCUGAUAGGAAGGCUUAAAAUACAAUCUGUGGCUAAAAGUGGCAUAUUCUACUCUGGGUGAUUGGAGGAAGAGAUGGGGAAAUCUUUUACACUUUGCUAAUGGUGUUUUAUUUCAGAAUAAGAAAGAUGGAACACUAUUGAAAAGCUCUUCCACCAAGGAGUCUCAAGAAAAUAUUGGAAGGAGUUGGCACUUUAAAAAUCUAUAUAAGUUGAGCCUGGUGUUACAGGCCUGGAACCACAGUAUUCUGAGUGGCUGAGGGAGGAAUACGUCAAGUUUGAGCCUAGCUGGAGCAACUUGGUAAGACCUUGUGUCAAAAUAAGUCAAAAUUAGAAAUGGGUUGAGGAUGUAGCUCAUUGUGAAGGCUUUGGGUUCAAUAAAUCCGUGUGUGUGUGUGUGUGUGUGUGUGUGUGUGUGUAUUCCAUACAUGCCCUACAUAAGUACUAAAUCACAGAUCAUUAAUGUCAAAUGCUAACAUCAUCAACAAAAAAAAUGCUAGAAAGUGAAAUAGUACAAUUAGUUGUAAAAAAUCAUCAGUGCCUAUAGCCAUUUGAGUCACAGAUCCAAGUGCAGUAAAACGCAUGGGCAAGGUGGGCCACUUUUGUGACUGCUUCCUUAUCAUACAGUCUGCCUUUUCCCUUUCUAACCCUUACUCUUUUGUUCAGGCUGUCCUAUUUCACUAAAUGGGAAAGAUAAUACCCAUCAAUAUCCUUAAUCAUUAUUUAUGAUUUCCUAAUUAUUGUAAACCACUGUAAACUUUGUCACAGGAUCAAAAUCGCUCUCGAGUAGUUAGCGCAAGCAGAUGUUUACGGGAACAGGCUCUCCACCUAGGAGAAUGCCUUUGUCCCAUGGAUGUCUCCCUGGAAGCCAGACUACCAGUGCUUAGUUAAGAGAACUUCGCAGUUGGGAUAAUUUUCUUCUUUAGAAACAAACCGGCUCAUCCUCCAGCUGGAAGCUCUGACAUUUUUGAAAGUAAGAGUGUCGAUAUAUUUCUUGGAUAAAGGACAACAACCUGCUAUUUCUGUAAUUCUUUCAUUGUUUAUAAGAAAUUCAGUGUGCUGCUUUAGGUUGUUUUAAAAAUUUGUUU